rnacentral:rRNA from 1 species
AAUCAACGCUGGCGGCGUGCCUAACACAUGCAAGUCGCACGAGAAAGGGUAGCAAUACCUGAGUAAAGUGGCGCACGGGUGAGUAACACGUGACUUAUCUACCUCCGAGUGGGGAAUAACCUAGAGAAAUCUGGGCUAAUACCGCAUAACACUUACGAGUCAAAGCAGCAAUGCGCUUGGAGAGGAGGUCGCGGCCGAUUAGCUAGUUGGCGGGGUAAUGGCCCACCAAGGCGAUGAUCGGUAUCCGGCCUGAGAGGGCGCACGGACACACUGGAACUGAAACACGGUCCAGAUUCCUACGGGAGGCAGCAGUGGGGAAUUUUGCGCAAUGGGGGAAACCCUGACGCAGCAACGCCGCGUGGAGGAUGAAAUAUCUUGGUAUGUAAACUCCUUUCGAUGGGGAAGAUUAUGACGGUACCCAUAGAAGAAGCCCCGGCUAACUUCGUGCCAGCAGCCGCGGUAAUACGAGGGGGGCAAGCGUUGUUCGGAUUUAUUGGGCGUAAAGGGUGCGUAGGCGGUUUGAUAAGUCUGAUGUGAAAUCUAUGGGCUCAACCCAUAGUCUGCAUUAGAAACUGUCG